rnacentral:rRNA from 1 species
AGCAGCCGCGGUAAUUCCAGCUCCAAUAGCGUAUAUUAAAGUUGUUGCAGUUAAAAAGCUCGUAGUUGAAUUUCGGGAUCAAUUCGUCGGUCGUGCUUUCGGGUACGUACUGGUGUUAUUGGUUUCUCCCUUCUGACGAACCAUGAUGUCAUUAAUUUGGUGUUAUGGGGAGUUAGGACUGUUACUUUGAAAAAAUUAGAGUGUUUAAAGCAGGCAUUAGCUUGAAUACAUUAGCAUGGAAUAAUGAAAUAGGACGUUCGAUCCUAUUUUGUUGGCUUCUAGGAUCAACGUAAUGAUUAAUAGGGAUAGUUGGGGGCAUUAGUAUUCAACUGUCAGAGGUGAAAUUCUUGGAUUUAUUGAAGACUAACUACUGCGAAAGCAUUUGCCAAGGAUGUUUUCAUUAAUCAAGAACGAAAGUUAGGGGAUCGAAGACGAUCAGAUACCGUCGUAGUCUUAACCAUAAACUAUGCCGACUAGGGAUCGGAUGAUGUUAAUUUUUAAUGACUCAUUCGGCGCCUUA